GUCUCACUGCUUUCCCUGCAGUCAGAUUCCAGCUAGUGGCAGUUACUUCUGUUCCAUAAUGCAUCAAGGAAUACGGAGAUCCAAUGGAGAAGAGCAGUGCAAUGCUGAGAAACCUGCUAGGAUUCUGCAGAGCCUCGUCUUUGGCCACUGUCUUCUUUUGUUUGAGAACUGGAAAGAGCAGGAAUAGAGAGGAGUGUGAUGGACCCACCGCUGGCCAAGGCCAAAGCAGCCAGAGGAGGUGGUAAUGCCUUUGUGAUAUCAUACUUAAGAAGCAAAAGAGAAGUUACAGUGCAGAUGUAAUUGGGCUCAGAGAAGAGCAGAGUUAGAGUAAGAAGAGCAGCCCUGCAGACACCAAGGCUGGUGAAGGAGGGGCAGGAGGUGCUCCAGGCACCAGAGCUGAGGUUCCCCUGCAGCCGUGGUGGGACUGUGGUGAGGCAGCUGCGGCCCUGCAGCCAUGGAGGUUCCUGAGGGUGCAGAGACCCACCGGCAGACCCUGGAGGAGACCUACACUGGAGCAGAUGCAUGCCCAAAAGAAGGCUGUGACUCUGUGGGAAGUCUGCACUGUAACAGGCUCCUGGAAGGACCGGUGGAUAGAGGAGCCCAUGCAGCAGCGGGUUUGCUGGUGGGAGCUGUGACCCUGUUAGCCAUGAACACUGGAGCAGGCAGUUCUUGAAGGACUGCACCUUCAUGAGGACCUGCAGCCCAUGGCAAUGAUUCACACUGGAGAGGUUUGUGGAGAACUGUCUCCUGUGGAGGGACCCACGUGGGAGCAAUGAAAGGGCUCCGUUCCCUGAGAAGCAUCAGAAACAAUCUGUGAUGACUUGAUCAUAACCCCCAUUCUUCACCUUCCUGCACCACUGGAGAGGAGGAGCAUGUGAUCUGCAUGUGAUCUAGAGUUCUCCUCCUUCUCUGCUUCCCUGCUGGCUCUGAAUGAUUUGUGACUGCAUUCCACAAAGAUCCAGUGUGACAAGGGCAGAAGAAUACAUUAAAAGACUUUUUUUAGAGGUGAUCUUAAAACUCUGAUUUUUGUUAAUUCAACCUUUUUUUUUUUUCAAUUAAAAUAUCUGACCACUAGUAGCUUAAUUUGACUCAUUGAUGCUAAUGGUCCAUGUCCACCUCUGUUUCUAUGGAAAUUGCUGCCAGCCUGAAGAGCAAGGAAAGAUUUUAAAUAUAUUCUUCACAGAAGCUGUUACUUAUUGGAUGUCCUUUAUUGCUAAAAUCUGACUUAGAAUGUAUUCUGGUAACAAAACAAAAGCACUGCUAAACAGCUUCUAGUAAUGCUAGUUGAGGACCAAAUUUACCAAAAUACAUUUUCAAGUAUAUACAGAAGAAAAUCCCAGGUUCACUGGCUUCUUGAUCUUGAUUUGUUAUUGUUUUGCAUCAAGUAGAAUAAUUCGCCAGAUCAGAAAGAUUAUAUCAAAUGCUAUGGAAGUAGGAUGGGUGAAUAAAGCAUUACCAA